GGGGAAUAUUGCGCAAUGGGGGAAACCCUGACGCAGCAACGCCGCGUGGGUGAUGAAGGUUUUCGGAUUGUAAAGCCCUGUCUUUGGGGACGAUAAUGACGGUACCCAAGGAGGAAGCCACGGCUAACUACGUGCCAGCAGCCGCGGUAAUACGUAGGUGGCAAGCGUUGUCCGGAAUUACUGGGCGUAAAGAGUAUGUAGGCGGAUAUUUAAGUCAGAUGUGAAAUCCCCGGGCUUAACCUGGGAGCUGCAUUUGAUACUGAAUAUCUAGAGUGCAGGAGAGGAAAGUGGAAUUCCUAGUGUAGCGGUGAAAUGCGUAGAGAUUAGGAAGAACACCAGUGGCGAAGGCGACUUUCUGGACUGUAACUGACGCUGAGAUACGAAAGCGUGGGGAGCGAAC
rnacentral:rRNA from 1 species